rnacentral:ncRNA from 1 species
GGAAAAUCAACGAAGAAGAGGAGUAGGAAAGUAAAACAUCUAGAGAUGGAAAUCCGUAGGCUGAAAGGUUUCCUAUGUAAAUUACUUCUGAAGGUAGCUUCUGAGAUGCUAAAUUGAAAAUCUAAGCAAGUAGAUUUAGCCGGUAUAUUCCGUUAAAGAUUUUAGAGUGUUAGUAUUAUCUGUUUAUAUACUAAAAAUAGGGUGGUACCGCGAGCUAUGCCUUUUCGUCCCUUUG